rnacentral:rRNA from 1 species
CGAAGGGGGCUAGCGUUGUUCGGAAUUACUGGGCGUAAAGCGCGCGCAGGCGGUCCUUCAAGUCAGAGGUGAAAGCCCAGAGCUCAACUCUGGAAUGGCCUUUGAGACUAGAGGACUUGGGUACGGGAGAGGUGAGUGGAAUUCCGAGUGUAGAGGUGAAAUUCGUAGAUAUUCGGAAGAACACCAGUGGCGAAGGCGGCUCACUGGCCCGUUACCGACGCUCAGGCGCGACAGCGUGGGGAGCAAACAGGAUUAGAUACCCUGGUAGUCCACGCCGUAAACGAUGGAUGCUAGCCGUUGGUAAGCAUGCUUAUCAGUGGCGCAGCUAACGCAUUAAGCAUCCCGCCUGGGGAGUACGGCCGCAAGGUUG